AUUGAACGCUGGCGGCAGGCCUAACACAUGCAAGUCGAACGAGUGGCGGACGGGGGAGUAAUGUCUGGGGAAAUGCCCGAUGGAGGGGGAUAACUACAGGAAACGGUAGCUAAUACCGCAUACCAUCGGAUGUGCCCAGAUGGGAUUAGCUGGUAGGUGAGGGAACGGCUCACCUAGGCGACGAUCCCUAGCUGGUCUGAGAGGAUGACCAGCCACACUGGAACUGAGACACGGUCCAGACUCCUACGGGAGGCAGCAGUGGGGAAUAUUGCACAAUGGGCGCAAGCCUGAUGCAGCCAUGCCGCGUGUAUGAAGAAGGCCUUCGGGUUGUAAAGUACUUUCAGCGGGGAGGCGUUACCCGCAGAAGAAGCACCGGCUAACUCCGUGCCAGCCGCCGCGGUAAUUC
rnacentral:rRNA from 1 species